UGCAAGAUAGCUCAGUUGGUAGAGCAUGAGUCUUUUAAUGUCAGGGUUAUGGUUUGAGCCCCAUGGCAUUGCAG